UUAGUUAGUUGGUAAGGUAAAAGCUUACCAAGACGAUGAUGUGUAGCUGGACUGAGAGGUCGAACAGCCACAUUGGGACUGAGACACGGCCCAAACUCCUACGGGAGGCAGCAGUAAGGAAUUUUUGGCAAUGGAGGAAACUCUGACCGAGCGACGUCGCGUGAACAAUGAAGUACUUCGGUAUGUAAAGUUCUUUUAUUGAAAAAGAAAAAAUAGUGGAAAAACUAUCUUGACAUUAUUCAAUGAAUAAGCCCCGGCUAAUUAUGUGCCAGCAGCCGCGGUAAUACAUAAGGGGCGAGCGUUAUCCGGAAUUAUUGGGCGUAAAGGGUGCGUAGGCGGUUUGAUAAGUCUAUAGUUUAAAUGCAGUGCUUAACGCUGUAGCGCUAUAGAAACUGUCUGACUAGAGUUAGAUAGAGGCAAGCGGAAUUCCAUGUGUAGCGGUAAAAUGCGUAAAUAUAUGGAGGAACACCAGAGGCGUAGGCGGCUUGCUGGGUCUUAACUGACGCUGAGGCACGAAAGCGUGGGGAGCAAACAGGAUUAGAUACCCUGGUAGUCCACGCCGUAAACGAUGAGUACUAAGUGUCGGGUUUCGGCUCGGUACUGAAGUUAACACAUUAAGUACUCCGCCUGAGUAGUACGUACGCAAGUAUGAAACUUAAAGGAAUUGACGGGACCCCGCACAAGCGGUGGAUCAUGUUGUUUAAUUCGAAGAUACACGAAAAACCUUACCAGGUCUUGACAUAAUUUUGCGACAUUAUAGAAAUAUAAUGAAGGUUAUCAGAAUUACAGGUGGUGCAUGGUUGUCGUCAGCUCGUGUCGUGAGAUGUUAGGUUAAGUCCUAAAACGAGCGCAACCCUUGUCGUUAGUUGCGACCACGUAAUGGUGAGCACUUUAGCGAGACUGCCAAUGAAAAAUUGGAGGAAGGUGAGGAUUACGUCAAAUCAUCAUGCCCCUUAUGAUCUGGGCUACAAACGUGAUACAAUGGCUGUUACAAAGAGUAGCUACAACGUGAGUUUUUAGCCAAUCUCAAAAAAACAGUCUCAUUUCGGAUUGAAGUCUGCAACUCGACUUCAUGAAGUUGGAAUCGCUAGUAAUCGCGAAUCA
rnacentral:rRNA from 1 species